AUACGUAGGGGGCGAGCGUUGUCCGGAAUGAUUGGGCGUAAAGGGCGCGUAGGCGGCCCGGUAAGUCUGGAGUGAAAGUCCUGUUUUUAAGAUGGGAAUUGCUUUGGAUACUGUCGGGCUUGAGUGCAGGAGAGGUAAGUGGAAUUCCCAGUGUAGCGGUGAAAUGCGUAGAGAUUGGGAGGAACACCAGUGGCGAAGGCGACUUACUGGACUGUAACUGACGCUGAGGCGCGAAAGUGUGGGGGGCAAACAGGAUUAGAUACCCUGGUAGUCCACACUGUAAACGAUGAAUGCUAGGUGUAGGGGGUAUCGACCCCUUCUGUGCCGCAGUCAACACAAUAAGCAUUCCGCCUGGGGAGUACGGCCGCAAGGUUGAAACUCAAAUGAAUUGACGGGG
rnacentral:rRNA from 1 species